AGAGCGGGUUUAGCCGAGAGAGUCUGACUGCAGUACGUGUACUCUCAGCUACUUACGCUGUGUACCUCUGACGUCACGUUCACGCUUUGCCACAAGGGGAAAUGUAUCCGUGGAAUUGCUUCCUGAUUGCGAUAUGACAUUAUAUUCUUAAUGAAGUUAACAGAUAGACCGGUGUUCUAUCGACCAAUACUACCUACCGAGACGUGCUACCGAGCCUUUCUGCGCAUGUGCAGUUCCACCGUCUCGGGUUUAAGUGAAUCAAGGAAAGUGAAUGAAGUAUAUUUAAGGUGCCUACGAACCAUGAGUUGUGUUUGGAAACACUGAUCAUCAUCUUUGAAUGAGCGAUCAAGGAAGAGCUGCAGCGCCUCCUUCAGGCAGAUUUCAUGGACAUUGGAAAGCUCCUCCUGUGUCUCGGCAUAUCGAAGACGAAGCACUUUCGACGGGGAAAGUACUUCCGAAUACAUUCUCGGGCACUGUUGCUGGAGGUAACAUUUAUAUGGCAGCCUUUAUGGGA